rnacentral:rRNA from 1 species
UGAUACCUGCCCAGUGAGUUAUUUUUUUUUUGUGUGAAUACUAAAAUUUAUCUUAAACGGACGCGGUAACUCUGACUGUGAUAAUGUAGCAUAAUCAAUUACCACUUAAUUGGUGGAGGGUAUGAAUGGUUUAACGAAUUUUUCAUUGUCUUAAAUAGGAUUUUUUUUAAAUUAAAAUUAUAGUUAAGAUGCUAUAUAAAAUUGUAAGACGAAAAGACCCUGUAGAGCUUUACUAUUUUUAUUAAUUUUGAUUUGGUUAAUGUAAUCAUCAUUUUUAGUAUUGGGUAGUUUAAUUGGGGUGAUUGGUUUUUAUUAUUAAUAAAACUAUGCAAUAAUAAUAAUAAUAUUUAUUGUAUAAUUGAUUUAUUUAACAAUUACUAUAGUAGGCUAUAAUGAUCCGUUUUAAUUUAGUAAAUAUUUUAACGAUAAAUAAAUAAAAGCUACCUCAGGGAUAACAGGAUAAUUUUGUUUUAGAGUUCUAAUCGAUUUCAAAGUUUAUCACCUCUAUGUUGAAUUAAGAUAUCCAGGUGGAGUAUAAGCUACCAAGGGUGGGUCUGUUC